rnacentral:rRNA from 1 species
GCUUUUGCGAGUCCGCACUCCCGGGGCGUCUCGCGCUCAUUUCGAGCGGAGGCGCACCCAGAGCGUACACGUUGGGACCCGAAAGAUGGUGAACUAUGCCUGGUCAGGACGAAGUCAGGGGAAACCCUGAUGGAGGUCCGUAGCGAUUCUGACGUGCAAAUCGAUCGUCGGAACUGGGUAUAGGGGCGAAAGACUAAUCGAACCAUCUAGUAGCUGGUUCCCUCCGAAGUUUCCCUCAGGAUAGCUGGCACUCGCUCUGAGCGAGUCUCAUCUGGUAAAGCGAAUGAUUAGAGGCCUUGGGGCCGAAACGACCUCAACCUAUUCUCAAACUUUAAAUGGGUGAGAUCUCUGGCUUGCUUGAAACUUGAAGCCACGAGAUUAUAAUGGAUCAGAGUGCCAAGUGGGCCAAUUU